UGAGUAAUCUGCCCUCGACACUGGGAUAACCCGGGGAAACCCGGAUUAAUACCGGAUAGCCUUUCGAGCUCUCGGGCUCGUCAGAAAAGGAUGGCUUCGGCUUUCGGUUGAGGAUGAGCUUGCGGCGGAUUAGCUUGUUGGUGAGGUAACGGCUCACCAAGGCGACAAUCCGUAGCUGGUCUGAGAGGACGAUCAGCCACACUGGGACUGAGACACGGCCCAGACCUCCCGUAGGGACGG
rnacentral:rRNA from 1 species